GCUGUCCGGACAAUACUGGUCACCGGAACAGUAAAACGCAUUACCGAACAUAGAGGUGUUACACAUCUCUCCAUUUUAAGAUGUUGAUUCUAGGGAAGAAAAUAAUGGAAUACAAGAUCAAAUAUCUGAAUAAGUGCGUGAAGGUGAUUCUUAUUUUUCUAUUCCAUUCAAGGUCAUGAAUACUAAUAAUUUAAUUUUAUUCUUUAUGUUGAUAGAUUUUGAUAUUAUGCAAAAUAAUAUGAGAAGCAAGCGUCAAAGUAAUAGCACUUUUGUAAAAGAGGAUCCAGUGCAGGAACAAGCAUACAAAGGUCCAAAUAAUUAUUAUCAUAUGCAUUAUUAUUAAUUUAUAUUCAUCAUACUUAUUUAUUAUUGAUACAUUGUUUCUAUACUAUUAAUGAAGUUCUAAAGACUUAUUUUUUUAGAUAUUGUUAUUAUGCAAAAGAAGAGAAAAACAAGGGGUAUGAAUAAAGGUAAAAAGGUUGCAGCACUGAAGGAUGGUGAGAAAUUGAAUGUGAUUUUUUAUAAUAAUCGAAUUAUUAGAGAAAAUUAUACGGAAUGGUUAAGACAUUUGGACAAAAUAGUGCAUGAUCGAAACAUUUGUUCAAUAAGAGUGCACUCGUGGAAGGAAAUUAGAGAAGAUACAAAAGAUCAUAUGUGGGAUUCAGUCAAGGAGAAAUUUAAAAAUGAUAACAUUGAGUUAUAUCAGGAAAAGUCUUUGGAGCAUAUGAAUCAAUUGUAGAAUAAUUGGAGAGGAGAUUGAAAUGCCACAAGAUGAUGCCUUGUGGUUCCUUUCCAGAGGUGUUGAAAAAUGUUCCUUAAGGAAUGCAUCAAGAAGAUUGGGAGCGAUUAGUUAAGAAUCAUUUAUCCACCAAAAAGUUUAAGGUGGUAGAACAAUAUUUUAAAACACAACAUUGUGAUCAUGUAAUUGGUUAUGAGGUUGGAAUGAAAGCAAAAAAAGUCAAGAAAUCUCAUUCCAAUGUUGGCCUUCAAGAGGAGAAUCGAUUGCUUAAGGAUCGUUUGUCUAAAGUAGAAGCUAGGAUGAAAUGCCUUGGGGAGUUAUUAUUGAGCCAACAUUCUAAUGCUUAAUUUGGAACUCCUCCAUCUACAAAUUAUUCUACAUGAUUGUGAUAAGAUGAAAUUCAAAUGGUGAAGGAAUUGAAGUAACUUUUUGGGGGAAGGUAUUCAAAAGUAACUUGAAAAAUAUUGUUCAAUUUUUUUUCCUUCACAUAUUUAUAGUUACCUUAUUGACAUAUACAAAGUAAGCAUAAACAAUUAAUAUUAAACUUGAGACGG
rnacentral:misc_RNA from 1 species